CCUCCCUCUCUCUUCGUGCUUAACACAUGCAAGUCUAACGGAAAGGCCCUGCUUUUGUGGGGUGCUCGAGUGGCGAACGGGUGAGUAACACGUGAGUAACCUGCCCUUGACUUUGGGAUAACUUCAGGAAACUGGGGCUAAUACCGGAUAGGAGCUCCUGCUGCAUGGUGGGGGUUGGAAAGUUUCGGCGGUUGGGGAUGGACUCGCGGCUUAUCAGCUUGUUGGUGGGGUAGUGGCUUACCAAGGCUUUGACGGGUAGCCGGCCUGAGAGGGUGACCGGCCACAUUGGGACUGAGAUACGGCCCAGACUCCUACGGGAGGCAGCAGUGGGGAAUAUUGCACAAUGGGCGGAAGCCUGAUGCAGCAACGCCGCGUGCGGGAUGACGGCCUUCGGGUUGUAAACCGCUUUCGCCUGUGACGAAGCGUGAGUGACGGUAAUGGGUAAAGAAGCACCGGCUAACUACGUG
rnacentral:rRNA from 1 species